GGCUCCGUCUCUGGGCUUCCAUGGGUUCCGCCGCCGCGCCCUUGAUCUCUUCUGUCUGCCUGACGCAGAACCGUAGUUCUCUUAGUUUUAGCUCCGUGGCUUCGGAUCAUUUGCGGUUCGGUUCGCCAACCGUCGAAUUCGCCGCCGUCAAGAAGUACCGGAGAGUUGGAAUUCGAGUUCCUGUGUGCAGAGCUGUCUCCGUUGUGUUUAGCAACCUCGAUGCCGAUGAUUUUCGGCACCCCUUGGAUAAACAGAACACGCUGAUUUUGAGAGCGAUUCCGGGAUUGAAUGAGUUUGGAAAGAUUCUGCUAGGAUCUGUUGCAGAGCAAGUCAUGCUUCUUGAGAACAUCGGAACGUCCCUUCUUGUUUCGAAAGAUCAGCUUUCUGGCCUACAUCAAUUGAUGGUGGAGGCCGCGGAGAUUCUCAGCAUUGAUGCUCCUGAUUUAUAUGUUCGUCAAAGUCCUGUACCAAAUGCGUAUACUUUAGCAAUAAGUGGUAAAAAGCCGUUUGUUGUUGUUCAUACUAGUCUCGUGGAGCUUUUGACACGAGAAGAGCUGCAGGCUGUUUUGGCUCAUGAGUUGGGCCAUCUGAAAUGUGACCAUGGUGUGUGGCUUACGUUUGCAAAUAUUCUUACCCUCGGAGCUUAUACAAUACCUGGGCUAGGUGGGAUGAUUGCUCAGAGGUUGGAAGAACAGUUAUUUCGUUGGCUUCGAGCAGCAGAGCUAACUUGUGAUCGUGCAGCUCUUCUUGUUGCACAAGACCCAAAGGUGGUCGUCUCUGUUCUAAUGAAAUUAGCUGGGGGCUGCCCAUCUCUGGCUGAUCAACUAAAUGUGGAUGCGUUUUUGGAACAAGCUCGCUCCUACGACAAAGCUUCUUCAAACCCUGUGGGGUGGUAUAUAAGAAAUGCUCAAACGAGGCAACUUUCACAUCCUCUGCCAGUUCUACGUGCUCGUGAAAUUGAUGAAUGGUCAAGAAGUCAAGAUUACAAAACUCUUCUGAGCCAGGCAACACGGAUCUCUGGCUCAAAGAAAGGGUUAACAACACCUGGAAAGAUAGGGUCAAAAUCCAUAGUACUGUGAAAAGCCCUGCGUGUGCGUCUCAUGGCAAAGAACUUGGGAGUUAAGAGGAGGAUAUGCUAAGCAUCUGCUUUAAAAGUCUUGCUGCAGCUAAAUUCUACAGACUAAAGAUGCACGAGUAGUAACUUCAUAGAAGGGGGAAAACAAGAAAAGAGUGAGAGUUCGAAAAGUUUGUUGUUGCUAGCACUGUUUCAAGCCGAAAUUUCGGGGGCAUGAUUCGCAUGAAGUUAGCUUCUUCCCUAUAAAUACCUUGCCCUUUCAGUUAACUAAAACACACACAGAAAUUUCCCGUUAGUUUCCUUAGCAAGCAUGGCUUCCACCAUUUCCCACUUUCCAGCAUUCUACUCUGCUCUAGUUUUCCUUCUCCUUCUGAACGCCCUCAUUCCUCUUGAUUGUGCUUCAGCUCAUCAACCAUCGCAUGUCGUCCCUCCUAGGCCACCACCGCGUUCAGCCUCAGCUCCGGAUGGCAGAAUUCCUCUGACGGGAACACCUCCGACUCCUGUUCUGUGCGACAAGGAGGCACCUAUUCAACAACAGCCAACGUCUCGGAAGCUUGGGGUUUAAGUUUAACAUGGAAGAUGAAUGAUGAACUUAUGCCGUUUAUAACUACGAAUAAUAAUACCGACUAAAUAAUCGACAUUGAUCGACUUGUAUUUCGAUAGCUAAUAAGCAGUUGGAUGCUGAAAACUUGAAAUCAUACACAUUUCCAUGCCUAAGGUUGUUUCUUCAAAGCGUUUUGGCAUUAAAAUUGAACUUGGAUCA